rnacentral:rRNA from 1 species
UACGAAGGGGACUAGCGUCGUUCGGAUUUACUGGGCGUAAAGCGCACGUAGGCGGAUUGUUAAGUGAGAGGUGAAAUCCUGGAGCUCAACUCCAGAACUGCCUUUCAUACUGGCAAUCUAGAGUCCGGAAGAGGUAAGUGGAACUCCUAGUGUAGAGGUGGAAUUCGUAGAUAUUAGGAAGAACACCAGUGGCGAAGGCGGCUUACUGGUCCGGUACUGACGCUGAGGUGCGAAAGCGUGGGGAGCAAACAGG